CAAUACAAAUUUACAGUAUUACUUCUUAUCUUGUACCGAAGUAUUUAGAAAAUGCUGAAAUGUUUCAGUGUUUUUCUGGUUAUUAACUUCAUACCAUCUCCUGUGGUUUUUCUAGAGGCUAACAGGGCAAGAAUCUGAUAAUCUUGAGACGCUGGGGAGUCUGGCUUUAGAUGAAUCCAACCAGGAAAAUGAAGAACUUAACCUUGGAGGUGAUGCAGACAGCACUUCUUCAGAAGGGCCAUCACAAGUGUCCUGUGGCUUAAAGAAGGGUGUAUCAGAUCUUGCUUCAAGAGAAGGAAAUUACUGACAACUGUGAGCUUAAGUAGGCUUAUGUAUGUGGAUUCUUUUAAUUGCAGGCUUCCCCUUGAAAGGAUAUACUAAAUCUUCUCAGGUAUAGAAACUCUUGUGGGAGCGUGACAGUGGCUUUUAACUGAAAUGAUGUAGCAGGGAGUACCUCUAUACUGCUUGUAAAACUUCUUACAGGCUGCAGUUAGUUGCUUGUUUAAAAUGCAAAUACUGUGUAUUUCAAACUGUGUAAAUAUCAAAUGGUUUGACAUGAUGCAUGAGAACUGAGAAAUAAAUUUUUUGCCUUAUCAAAGUAGUGUCUGGUCUGAGUUGAGGAAUGGCUGGUUCUAAGCUCCACAAGUCAGUCGUGGCUACUGUAGGUGGAUGGUGUUAGUGUUUUUAGGAGGACUGUCUGGGCACUUCUGAACUCCCUUGAUUUAUGAACUCCCUUGAUUUACUCUCCAGAAUUCUGGAGAGCAGAAUGGUUUGAGGGGACAGGGGAAAGCAAAAGCUUGGGGCUGGGGGGAGGGAAACCUUGAGUGCUGUUGGUGAGAUGUAAGCUUUACUGAAUGGAUAAUAAGACUUGAGAUUGAUCCUAGAGUUUAGUGAAACUUGCUUUAACAGUCUUACAUUGUUGCCUCUGUCUUUAAAGGAGCCUUUUCCAGGAUGUGUGGGUGAAGAUAAGUCCAGCUGCCUGAGAGCUAUAGUGGCUAACCUGAAGUUAAAGCAUCCUUGCUUUCGUCCUUGCAGCUCAGGCUUGUGUACUCAGCCUCUCCUAACUGUGCUGAGAACUCAAUGGGGAAGAAGUAGCCAUGCUGCAGAGCUGUUCUAAAAGGAAACUUGCUUUCUGCUUUCAAAGUACCGUUCUUGGUAUUUACCAAGGGACGAGGUGGUAUGUUUGCCAAUAUGGUGUUUACGAAUGUUUCUCUUGUAAACACUUAGAACUUGGAAGUGUUUACAUGAACAAAAGGUACAUCUUAAAAACUUUGGAGGACUUUAUCUAUACAGGAAAUAAGUAUUUCCAGCUCCAGGUGCUGAGGUAUGAGGGAGAGCAGUGCAAGCUUCCUAGUCCUGGGUGGAACGUUGGCAGUUGUUUGGUACCCUUCCCUGGACAGACUCUAAAAGAAGGUGGUGGCAAUUGCGAUACCUUGUGAAGAGCUUAAUGCAGAAUGAAAUGCUGCAUGACUUUCAGCAGGCUGAAAUAAUCAGGGAUGCUAGUUAAUGGGUUCCUAUCAGACCUUGCCAAAACAGGUGCUUCAGGGCAUGCAUAAACACCUGCAGAACUAUGAGAUUGAUAUCUUUAGGUUUCUUCUGUAUCUCCUUGUUUCCAUACAGAUGUCAGUUAACACCUGUCCCGCAACAGAUUUAAAUGGGAAUGUUGGAAUCACUACAGGAGUUCUGGUUUUCAUUUAGUCUUGAACCUGGUAAGCAAGGUUUUCUCAGAGCCAUAAAAAGGCUAUAAAGCUCUCCUGCACAAUUCCUUGGCCAGUUUGAUAAGGUCAAUUCAGUAGAGGCAGCCCUUGGAACUUCUUUUUCAUGUUUUAGUGUUUUCUAAUCACUACAACAUGAGCUGUAAUGCUCGAUAUAAUGAUUGUUGGAAUGCUCUGAACCCAGUGCUUGCGUGCAUCAUCUUCAUCUUAAGUUUGUGUCUCAUUUGCAUUGAAACAGCCAAGAAGGAUGUUUACUAGAUCUAAAUCAUGUGCUGUUUUCUGACUGUAAGCAACAAAGGAAAGGUGGUGACUGAGUGCUUGGAUCCUUCCUUGUGUUGAUAAGGACUUAGUAAAUCUUUCAUGCCAUUUGCGUAUUCUGCACACCAUGCAGUGUCUGCCCAGCCUGUGAUAGAACACCUCUUAGUUUCAGAACCACACAGAUCAGUUAGUAAAUACAGCACACUUGCACUGGAGUUCUCCAAUGCCUGCUGUGGUAAUUCUCAGAGAGACUAGUUUUGUGAUUGGAAAGAAAACCAGACUGUGUGAGAAGACCAGCUGCAAGACGUGAACUGUGGUUUGGAAGCUGAAGCUGUAUGUGUUCUUUGUUGCAGAUGUAUUGGAUCUUGGUCAAGUAAUACCUCCCUGUUAUACCAGAUACACUAAUGUAUAGAAGUGCUGUCAGGAGGUUUGGCGUUUCAUAUCCAGCUAAAUUACAGAGAACACUGUCAUGCAAAAUGAAAUUAUCAGCUCUGAGACCUAACUAGAUAAGGUGAUUUUGCUAAGUAGUAGUAAAUACCUUUGUGCUGCAACAUGACCAGCAUGCUAUGCUGACUCUUUCUCAUUGUACAGCCUGUGGCCACAGUUUUAUCUUUCGCUGAUGGAUCUUAAAAGUUUCCCAGAUGUGGGAUGCGUCUACUGGGUCCUGGCACUUUUCCACAGAGAAAUGUGCAUGCCUUGAGGACAGAAUGUCAGAUCUGCCAACUGAUUGUGAUGAAAUGUUAUUGGUUGUGUUCAAGGCCAACCCCCCCAGCGACAGCAAUAUCUCUGGGGCACCUAAGCCAGCUGAAUAGGAGCGCUGUGGAUCUUAUCAGGUAGGAUUGCAAAUCAGGGUCCAUAUAUAGGAUAUACAGUCCAGCAAUCCUACAGACUUCUAGUUUUGAAUGUUUUGAGUAAUGAUCAGUAUAUAACAGCAAAGCUACAAUAGAUGGCUUUUUGGAGGUGUGCUGGUUCCAAGAGUCAUCUUAUGGAUGGCAGCGUGAAGCUCUGGGCAGGUAGAUUGGGCAGAAACAUCUCAGAUUCCUGCUUGAUUGAAGUUCUUAAACUCAGUGUGACUUUUUCUUCUCACUAUGUUGUCACAAAUCAUGUUAGGACAAGACUUUUUGUUUUAGAAGAAGAGUAAAUAAAGCAACACUAAUGCUUAAAGUUACCUCAGGCCUUUAUACAUCUAUAUGCCAGGUUCAAGCUUGUCAGUACCACAAUGGGAACUGAACACUGAGUCUCAGUGUUUGCAUUCCGAUUUCUAUGAAUUUCCUCAUUGACUCUGAGGGCACAGUUUUCUCAUACCUGUUUGUUACAACAUUUCAGUUUACUUCUUUUUUUAACGUGCUUUUGUUCACCUUACAGAGAUAUAACUAAGAGCAGUCACUUUCAGUAUUGUUUCAUCCCUCUAUUUUUCCUCCCUUUCUGAUUUGCGUGUCUAUUUCUGCUACUAAAUCUGCUUGCUACUUACUUUCCCUUGGCCAACAGAAAAAAUGAACUUGCAGCAGUUGUGUAUACUAAAACACAAGCUAGUGUUGUACCAUUUCUAUGCUGUGCAAGAUGUUGCAGUUCUCCUUGCCCUUACGCACACUCUUUGCUUUGUGUAUUACUUGCUUACACAACUGUUAGAUCUUAACGUUCAUCCAAGUCUUCAUAUGGUAUGAAACAAAAAGUAUUUCUUCACAACAGGUAAUUUAGCAAGUAAUUUUGCACAAUUUAGCUGAACUUUUUUAUAUCAUAAAAUCUUGAUUGUUCAGGAUUGAAGAGACUAAUAUUCCUUAUGAGCUUAAGCUUAUGAGCCUAAACUUAAGCUACUAACUACCUUUCCAAGUAGGCAGUUCCUACUGAGCUACCUACAACAGAGGGGGGUGAUUUCCAUGGUAGUUUGAAGGUGAUGUGAGCCUUACUAUGGAGAGGAUACCAGUAGAAAGAAAGACUUAUACAUAUGGACUGAUGUGCUUAGUACUUAAAAAAUAAUCUUUAUUAUAACUUAAAUGUGAUAGGAAAUAAAUGCCACAAAACUAAAGGGGGGAG